ensembl:misc_RNA Metazoa_SRP Metazoan signal recognition particle RNA
GCUGGGCGUGGUGGCGGGUGCCUGUAGUCCCAGCUACUCUGGAGGCUGAGGCAGGAGAAUCACUUGAACCUGGGAAGUGGAGUUGCAGUGAGCUGAGAUCAUGCCACUGCAUUCCACCCUGGGCAACAGAGUGAGACCCGGUCUCAA